ACACCCACCACAGAGCCCGGUGCGGUGCUUCAUUAGAAGGCCAGCGUGACGAAAGAAUGAGGAUGUGAGGGUGCUCUGCAAUUCAUACUCGGCGGGAACAGUGUGCCUGAGGUCUGGCCCACUUCCUGCUGCCCCCGGCCUGGACUUUCCUCUUGCCGGUGGUGCCCCAGCUCCAUGGGCGGUGAGGGUCUCUCUGUGAUUCGCUCAGGACCCCAGUUCCCCCUCUGGCCAAGGGCCUUGUCUGCACACACCGCCAGGAGCCUGCAGCAGUGCCCUCUCCAACCAGAGCGCGGAGAAAGAGAAGCCACCUCUGUGGCAGGUUAGAAUACAGACAGGACGCCUCAAAGCUCUGCCCGCACCCUGACAACGUUAACAAGAGAGAAGCAGGUGACCACUGAGGGUAGAUGAUGUGGGUGCUCCUGUUGGAUUGUAGGUUAGCAAAGGAUCACGUGGGUGAUUCAGGAAUGAAGGGAGAACAGGCAGUCGACUGUGAGAAAGAAUUUCAUAUUCUGGAAGGAGAUGGGGAGUGUGUGUGUGUGUGGUGUGUGUGUGUGUGUGGUGGAGGAUUCCUCACUUUGAAGGAAUGGUGUUGACAAAGGGGACCUGUGAAAUUCUUAAGCCGCUGGAAUAGUAAUAACUUGGAACUACCGGCUGGACUGGGUGUCAGUGGGGAAUGAAGACAGAUCCACUGUGUUCAUGGCCUCCCCCUUCAGUUAGUUCACGAGGCCGUGGUUAUGCAGGAAUCAGGAGAGGGUGUUGUGGUGUUCAGGUAGCAGCUGCUAGGAGGGACUGGCCAGGGGCUUGCUUGCCCUUUCAUCCUUCUGGGCUGGCGCUUGCUCCCUCAUGGUUACAGACCAGGCGGUUUUCAUCUGUAGAGAAAAGGCUCCCAGCGGGACCAAGGCCCCUGACUGGGCCCCUGCAGGGCCUCCGCACUGGGGAGGGCCGAGCCCUUCGCAGCCUUCCCUGGACAUAGAGCUCCGAGGGCCCGCUGGGCUGAGCAUUCUGCUGAUUCUGUCCCAUGUGAAAUGGUGUUGGCCGCUACCACCCGCAUCGCUGCCUCUGACCUGGACUGCGGGAACGCUAACGUCUCACCUCCGUUAGGCUCCUGUCCUGGGUGUGCUGGCUCCGUGCCAAGGAACACCAGAUCAGAAAGGGAGUUGAGAGCAUUUUCUAGCUGCUGCAUUUCCGUAGAUCUGCCUGCUUGUGACACAGCCGUCUCUGCACCCUCUGGUCAGUGUUGGACCAGGCAUGUAGUCUCUUCCCCACCGCAGUGUCAGAACACAAUGGACUGUACAUUGGAAAGUACCUUAUUUAUACACCUGAAUGUUCCAGUUACACAAAUAAACAUCGAUUAAACUCU